rnacentral:rRNA from 1 species
GACGAACGCUGGCGGCGUGCUUCACACAUGCAAGUCGAACGACUUGGCGAACGGGUGAGUCACGCGUAAUCAACCUGCCCUUCAUAGGGGGACAACAGUUGGAAACGACUGCUAAUACCGCAUACUGAAGGAGGGGAUUGCGUCUGAUUAGCUAGUGGGGGGGUAACGGCACAACAAGGCGAUGAUCAGUAGCCGGUCUGAGAGGAUGAACGGCCACAUUGGGACUGAGACACGGCCCAGACUCCUACGGGAGGCAGCAGUGGGGAAUCUUCCGCAAUGGACGAAAGUCUGACGGAGCAACGCCGCGUGAGUGAUGACGGCCGUCGGGUGGGAAAGCUCUGUAAAACGGGACGCGGUACCGGAAUAGAAGACCACGGCAAACUACGUGCCAGCAGCCGCGGUAAUAC